rnacentral:rRNA from 1 species
UACGUAGGGCGCAAGCGUUUGUCCGGAAUUAUUGGGCGUAAAGAGCUCGUAGGCGGCUUGUCACGUCGGGUGUGAAAACCCGAGGCUCAACCUCGGGCCUGCAGUGGGUACGGGCAGACUAGAGUGCGGUAGGGGAGAUUGGAAUUCCUGGUGUAGCGGUGGAAUGCGCAGAUAUCAGGAGGAACACCAAUGGCGAAGGCAGAUCUCUGGGCCGUAACUGACGCUGAGGAGCGAAAGCAUGGGGAGCGAACAGG